CUCGCAUUCUGCCAGCGAUCUGGGGGGUCCCAGUUCUGGCAAUCCUUCAUCCAGCUCCUCCCUGUCCUUCGGAUCGGGACCUCGAUUGAGGUCGGAUCAGGCACCGCGACCUUGUUCUGGUUCGAUAGAUGGUCUGGCGACCUUCCCCUUGCGGCCCGCUUUCCAGGCCUAUUCUCCAUUGCGGUGGCCCCUCACAUAUCGGUCGCGGCAGCCCUUAUUGACUUAGGGCAUCUCGCGUUCCGGCGGCCCUUUGGUCCGGCUGAAACGGCUGAUUGGCAGGAGAUGCUUGACUGCAUUGCAUUGCACGCACCUGAUCUUACCUCCGAGGAUGAUACUUCCAUAUGGCGUCUAGAGCCAUCUGGACAAUUCUUCACCAAGUCCCUGUACCAGGUCAUUGCCCCCUCGCCUGGCCAUGAAGCGCUCACCCUCAUCUGGGAGAUUCGCCUUCCCCUGAAAAUUAGGAUUUUCCUGUGGCAAUGGAUCCACGGCCGCCUCCCGUCUAGCGUCGAGGUCCUGAAGCGUAAUGGUCCGGGUGAUGGACGUUGCCCUCUCUGUGGGAUGGAAGAGGAUUCAAAUCAUAUAUUCUUCACCUGCGUGUCCGUGCAAUUCUUAUGGAGUUGUUUCCGCGAGUUAGUGGGUGGUAGCUGGGAUCACAACAACUUCCCCGCCCUCUUCGCCGAACUCUAG
rnacentral:rRNA from 1 species